rnacentral:rRNA from 1 species
GGGGCUGGAGCAGGUCCCAAGGGUAUGGCUGUUCGCCAUUUAAAGCGGUACGUGAGCUGGGUUCAGAACGUCGCGAGACAGUUCGGUCCCUAUCUGCCACGAGCGUUGGAUGUUUGAGAGGAUCUGUUUUUAGUACGAGAGGACCGAAAUGGACGAACCUCUGGUGUACCAGUUAUCCUGCCAAGGGUAAGUGCUGGGUAGCUACGUUCGGACGGGAUAACCGCUGAAAGCAUCUAAGUGGGAAGCCCCCCUCAAACACA